UGCCCUGCUUCCAGGAAAAGCCUCUAAGCAUCAGGUAACAUCAAAUCGUACCCCAAACCGACACAGGUGGUCAGGUAGAGAAUACCAAGGCGCUUGAGAGAACUCGGGUGAAGGAACUAGGCAAAAUGGUGCCGUAACUUCGGGAGAAGGCACGCUGACACGUAGGUGAAGUGAUUUACUCAUGGAGCUGAAGUCAGUCGAAGAUACCAGCUGGCUGCAACUGUUUAUUAAAAACACAGCACUGUGCAAACACGAAAGUGGACGUAUACGGUGUGACGCCUGCCCGGUGCCGGAAGGUUAAUUGAUGGGGUCAGCGCAAGCGAAGCUCCUGAUCGAAGCCCCGGUAAACGGCGGCCGUAACUAUAACGGUCCUAAGGUAGCGAAAUUCCUUGUCGGGUAAGUUCCGACCUGCACGAAUGGCGUAAUGAUGGCCAGGCUGUCUCCACCCGAGACUCAGUGAAAUUGAACUCGCUGUGAAGAUGCAGUGUACCCGCGGCAAGACGGAAAGACCCCGUGAACCUUUACUAUAGCUUGACACUGAACAUUGAGCCUUGAUGUGUAGGAUAGGUGGGAGGCUUUGAAGUGUGGACGCCAGUCUGCAUGGAGCCGACCUUGAAAUACCACCCUUUAAUGUUUGAUGUUCUAACGUGGACCCGUGAUCCGGGUUGCGGACAGUGUCUGGUGGGUAGUUUGACUGGGGCGGUCUCCUCCUAAAGAGUAACGGAGGAGCACGAAGGUUGGCUAAUCCUGGUCGGACAUCAGGAGGUUAGUGCAAUGGCAUAAGCCAGCUUGACUGCGAGCGUGACGGCGCGAGCAGGUGCGAAAGCAGGUCAUAGUGAUCCGGUGGUUCUGAAUGGAAGGGCCAUCGCUCAACGGAUAAAAGGUACUCCGGGGAUAACAGGCUGAUACCGCCCAAGAGUUCAUAUCGACGGCGGUGUUUGGCACCUCGAUGUCGGCUCAUCACAUCCUGGGGCUGAAGUAGGUCCCAAGGGUAUGGCUGUUCGCCAUUUAAAGUGGUACGCGAGCUGGGUUUAGAACGUCGUGAGACAGUUCGGUCCCUAUCUGCCGUGGGCGCUGGAGAACUGAGGGGGGCUGCUCCUAGUACGAGAGGACCGGAGUGGACGCAUCACUGGUGUUCGGGUUGUCAUGCCAAUGGCACUGCCCGGUAGCUAAAUGCGGAAGAGAUAAGUGCUGAAAGCAUCUAAGCACGAAACUUGCCCCGAGAUGAGUUCUCCCUGAGACUUUAGGUCUCCUGAAGGAACGUUGAAGACGACGACGUUGAUAGGCCGGGUGUGUAAGC
rnacentral:rRNA from 1 species